rnacentral:rRNA from 1 species
GUUAAGGGCGUCGAGCGGCGGACGGGUGAGUAAUGCCUAGGAAAUUGCCCUGAUGUGGGGGAUAACCAUUGGAAACGAUGGCUAAUACCGCAUGAUGCCUACGGGCCAAAGAGGGGGACCUUCGGGCCUCUCGCGUCAGGAUAUGCCUAGGUGGGAUUAGCUAGUUGGUGAGGUAAUGGCUCACCAAGGCGACGAUCCCUAGCUGGUCUGAGAGGAUGAUCAGCCACACUGGAACUGAGACACGGUCCAGACUCCUACGGGAGGCAGCAGUGGGGAAUAUUGCACAAUGGGCGCAAGCCUGAUGCAGCCAUGCCGCGUGUGUGAAGAAGGCCUUCGGGUUGUAAAGCACUUUCAGUCGUGAGGAAGGUGGUGUAGAUAAUAGCUGCAUUAUUUGACGUUAGCGACAGAAGAAGCACCGGCUAACUCCGUGCCAGCAGCCGCGGUAAUACGGAGGGUGCGAGCGUUAAUCGGAAUUACUGGGCGUAAAGCGCAUGCAGGUGGUUUGUUAAGUCAGAUGUGAAAGCCCGGGGCUCAACCUCGGAAUAGCAUUUGAAACUGGCAGACUAGAGUACUGUAGAGGGGGGUAGAAUUUCAGGUGUAGCGGUGAAAUGCGUAGAGAUCUGAAGGAAUACCGGUGGCGAAGGCGGCCCCCUGGACAGAUACUGACACUCAGAUGCGAAAGCGUGGGGAGCAAACAGGAUUAGAUACCCUGGUAGUCCACGCCGUAAACGAUGUCUACUUGGAGGUUGUGGCCUUGAGCCGUGGCUUUCGGAGCUAACGCGUUAAGUAGACCGCCUGGGGAGUACGGUCGCAAGAUUAAAACUCAAAUGAAUUGACGGGGGCCCGCACAAGCGGUGGAGCAUGUGGUUUAAUUCGAUGCAACGCGAAGAACCUUACCUACUCUUGACAUCCAGAGAACUUUCCAGAGAUGGAUUGGUGCCUUCGGGAACUCUGAGACAGGUGCUGCAUGGCUGUCGUCAGCUCGUGUUGUGAAAUGUUGGGUUAAGUCCCGCAACGAGCGC